GUAUAAGAUUCCUGACCUUUACCCAAGAGAAAAAUUUUAGAAAAACUUGAAAAUGGGGUCAUCUCAAUAACAUUCAUUAAUGGUGGGUCCAAUUUUAACUUCACCAUGGUCCCCAUUUAGGGUACCCUACACCACAAAUUCCAGGCCAAAAAUAGGAUUCAUACACAUCAAUUUGUUCUUCCAUUCCUAACAAGCUCCUUCACUUCCAACCUAAUCACCCCAAAAGAAGAAAAAAGAAGAAGACAUUUGAUUAAAAAAAAAAAAAAAACACUAUGACCCACCGCCCAAAAACAACACUACACCUAUUAUAUAUAAAUAGUAUUAUUUUUGAUAUGCAAAUGGCUACACCCACCCAAUCCAUUCCAUUUCCUAUAUCUUCUGCUGAUGAGUAUUGUUCUCGUUCUCUCCAAGUACCUCCUGAUUCUCCUCCUGCUGCCGCCUUUCACCAGCCUGCGCCGCAACCAUAGCUGCCGGCUGCAGCAACAAUGCAGUAAACGGCAUGUGCCGAUACUCCAAGUCUAGCCUAGAUGGAGCCAGCGUGAACAUCCCUUGCCCCGGACUGCUUCCCACGGGUUGAACCUUACAGGAAAUGGAGGGCGGAGAGACGGAAAUCGGGGUAGGACCAGCAGUGGUGGAAACGGGUUCUGCAGGGACAGUACCGGUGCCGGUAGCAGCUAUGAUGGAAGGCUCAGCUUGACGGAGAAGCCACUCUAUGAUCUCACCAUCAGAACGGUGGCCGAGUUCUCGGGUCAACUGGAAGAUCCGAGCAGCACAAAGAGCAGGCAUCCGAACCCGCCUGCCCCUGCCAUUGACUUUAGUGUGGCGGUCUUUGGAGAUGGAGAUGGAGGAUUUUCGAGCGUGUUGGGUGGUCUUUGGCUGGGAAUCGGUGGUGGGAACUAUUGAGUUGAGGUUUGGGGUUUCCUGGGAGUGAUUUGAGGUGGGUAAACUAUGAAGGACGAUUUGAGAGUCCAUUUGAGAGUUGAAAGCAGAAAAAAAUAUGGAUUUGUUGGCAGAGGAUUU
rnacentral:misc_RNA from 1 species